GAUCUCCUGGCUCCUGCUCUCCAAAUGAACUCAAGUUCUGCUCAGCCAGGUACCACAGUUGUGCUCCAGUGUAUUCUCCCUGUGGUGUCACAUGCAAGACAAAUCAUUUUCUGCAAGGAUGGGAAGGAGGUGUACAGUCUGAAAGCCCAGCAAGGGCAGCUGAGCUAUGCUGUGGUCCUGAACAUCACAUCAAGAAGUGCAGGAAGAUAUACUUGCGGGUACCAGCAGAGGAAUGAGAUGAAACAGAGGAGGAGCUCUGCCCUCAGUGCUGGCCGCAUCCUGAAUGUCCCUGGCAAUGUGGUGAGUUCCCCAGCAAGUCCAUCAACCACAGGUGAGUGAUUCCCUCCUGCACCUCCUGUACCCCCAGGUGAGUGAUUCCCUCCUGCACCCCCAGGACCUCCAGGUCCCUGCAGCACCACCUCUGCUGCAGACAUGGGGCUGUGCAGGGCCGAUGCACAGAGAAGAAGGGCUGGGGAUGUGGAUGGAUGCUGGGUUGAGCCAGGGGAGCUCCAAGGUCUGCCCUGUACAUUGAUGAGCCUAUGGCAGGGCAAGUAGAGUAAUUGUCAUGAGCUGAGAGCGUAAGGUACGUGUGAGCAAGGGGACAAUAUUUCUGGCACUAAAACUGUGGCUGGAGCCAUAUUGUGAAAGGAGAGAUAUUGGAAUGCUCAGGGAUCCAGAGACCUCUCCCUGGAAAAACAAACCAACCAAAAAAUGGUAGGGAUGGACACAGGGCAGAACACCUCUGCUGCAGACUUGAGGUGUUGCAGGGCCCAUGCAUAAAAAACAUGGGCUCGGGAUGUUGAUGGACUACGGGCUGUGUCACUACUGCUCCAAGUUUUCCCUCUAAACUUUAUGAACCUAUGAAAAUAAAGUUACACAAGCUUGGUUGUUCAUUUUGGCCAUUUGCUCCAGGAAGCAAUACAAGAGAUCAGGGUCUGCUCAGCAUCUUGGAUUGCCCAUAACUCAGAGGUCAAGGGACUCACAGAGUGUACAUGUCUCCCACAGGUAGCAGCCCCUCACACAAGGCCCAGCUCCCUUCCAGAGGCUCAGCCAUGCCCCUGGAGGUCUGGAUCCUGCGCUCUGCCCUCAGCCUGCUCCUGCUGCUGUCUGCCCCCAUCAUCACCCUCCUCCUGGAGAGAUGCAGCCACAGUGCCAACGAGGCCAGACAGCCUGGAGACGUCCCUGUCGCCAUGGUGCUCUGAUGUCCUCCUGGGAUACAUGCUGUCCCCAGCCUGCUCCCCCAUGCUCAGAGCAUGACCCACAACGUGGCCAGGCUCCCGCUUCCAUUGGGUUCAAGGCAGCUGGGGCAGCAUGCCCAAGGGAAAAGCGACUGCACUCUCCCCCAUCAAGGAUUGUCACUGCAUCGUGCACCCUUCUGGCUGUGUUCAACCCCAACACCCACGUGGCUUUGCCCCCUGUCCACAGAAUCACAUCUCCAUCGCGGGAUCCUCCUCUACAUACCAGAAUGGGUUGGUGUCACGGCUGCACCCCCAGGUAGCCAUGCUCUGCAGCUCCUGCAUCACUCCAGCACCUCCCUGUGCCCAACGUGCCGACCGCAAUGGGCACAUCCCCAGAUAGUUAUGGUGCCCUGUAUGGAGGCACCUUGAUGGGUAUUGGUCCUGUGGGAGGCGAGUUAUAAAGGAUUGGUUCAGAAUGCACCAGCUGAUGUUGCUGCUCUGUAUUUGAAGGGAAGACAGUGAGCAGAGAUGGGAGAGCUCCUCUUUGACUGCUGUGUGGGGCCAUGUGUCUUGCAAGGGAGCUCCUGUUCUCUGUGCCCUGCCACCCAGGAGUUCCCCUACCUGCUGACAUUGCCCUGGCAGAUGUGUCAUGGAAAACUGCCUGAGAUCUGAGAAUUGCUGACACCAUGUAGAGGUCCACGGGGUGGCCAUGCCUGGCACUCUGCACCUCAUGCCCACAAAUCCCUAUGCUGGAUCUUCUGUCUCUCAAUGCGCCAUCCCCAGGAGACAACCCUGAGCAGGGACAUUGUGCAUGGGGGCAUCCAGCUGUGGGGCAGGUGGGGACGGGGUCUCAGCAUGGCUGGCCCCCACACCCACAGACCAUCCCCAGCAUUGCACUAUGGAGUUUUAGCCAUCCCACACCAAUACCAAGAAGGAGCCAAGGUGUCCCUUCUCUGCAGCUCCCAGUGUUGACAUCUGGGGCCUUGGUGUGCAGUGGGGGACUCUGGGAUAAGAUGGGUUCAGGCAGGAGAGGAGCUGCUCAGCUGGGAGGCACGAGGAUGCAGGACUGCACGGAGGGAAUAUGGGAUAGGAAAAUGGGUUCAAAAUUCAGCAAGAGCUGCUUGGAGGCAGAGCUGGAGGGAAUGUGGGUUUCAGGCUCCUUCCUGCAAGCACAGUCCCUCACCUCCCAUGCCCUCAUCAAAGCACUUGUCCCACAGCUUCCUUCAGGCCCAUGCAUGCAUGCUUCACAGCACAAGCCUCCAGGAUACUCUUCCUCAAAGGGAAUAUACAGAUUUGAGUGGACGGAGCUACUCCCUCUUUCUCAUACAGCCUCCAACCCUCCCUGGUGAGCGAAUCGCACUGUGGUGUCAGCUGCAAACUUUCUGAGGGUAGCUCUUGUUCCUAACAGUUACAGCCUUUUUGCCUUCUUUGUGGUUGAUUUAGCACUGCUAUAGAUGUGACUGGAGUGUCCCUGUGAAUGGCCUAUGAGGACUGUUUUAUCAACACGUCAAGUGUCAAUAAAGAGCUAUUUGUAUUU